rnacentral:rRNA from 1 species
ACUCAAAUGAAUAGACGGGGGCCCGCACAAGCGGUGGAGCAUGUGGCUUAAUUCGAUGCAACGCGAAGAACCUUACCAGGGCUUGACAUGGAGCUGCAAGCUCGUGAAAGCGAGUCGCUUUCGAAGGUGCUUCACAGGUGGUGCAUGGCUGUCGUCAGCUCGUGUUGUGAAAUGUUGGGUUAAGUCCCGCAACGAGCGCAACCCUCAUGUUUUGUUGCCAGCGGGUAAAGCCGGGAACUCGAAACAAACUGCCUCUGUAAAGAGGAGGAAGGUGGGGAUGACGUCAAGUCAUCAUGCCCCUUACGCCCUGGGCUGCACACAUGCUACAAUGGCCGGUACAAAGGGUUGCUAACCCGCGAGGGUAUGCUAAUCUCAAAAAGCCGGUCUCAGUUCGGAUAGGAGGCUGCAACUCGCCUCCUUGAAGCCGGAAUCGCUAGUAACCGCCGGUCAGCAAUACGGCGGUGAAUACGUUCCCGGGCCUUGCACACACCGCCCGU